GAGGCAUUUCCGCUGUGCAUUUGGCUAAGUUUGGAUUUGACGAGCGCACGGGGGAGCUCGGGCUCGCGCAGGUGGGCACUCUCUCCCUUCCUUAGCUCUCCUGACUCUCCGCGAGACGCUCCCACCCGAAAAAAGCGGCCGCUCCCCCGCAACAGAUUCCGGCACCCUGGAGAGGCGCUGCAGUGUAGAGAGACCUGGGUCCGCCCAGCCCCAGGGAGGAGGCGCAGCGCCCAGCUCACGCACCGGGCUCUGGGAGCCGCUUCCCGCCCCCUCCCUCCCACGGCGGCGGCGGCGGCGGCGGCGGCGGCAGCAGCGGCCAGAGAAGGGGGCGGGCGAGGGGCGGAGCCUGGGAGGAGCGGCGACGGCGGCGGCCCGGGCGGCGGCGGCAGGUGUGGACCAGGCGGAGGUGUGGGGUAUCCGCUCGCGCCCGCGCUAACGAGAGGCCGGGACUCUGGGGUCUGGGCGACCUCCCUGAAGGUGCUUCGCGUGCGGCUUCGACCCGCGCAGAACUUGGGGCGCGGGCCAGGGACGCUCUGGUCCGCGUCCGGCGCCGAGAGGAGAAAGACGCGCGGACCGAGAGGAGAAGCGGCGACCGGAGUGCGGCGGAGGCUGAGGGGAAGCAGGAUGCCGCCCCUGUUUGGGCUCCCUCCUCGCCCCCGCGAGGCCGCGCGGAGCUUCAUCGCCCCAGCCCUGCCGGCAGGUAAGCGAGGAACGCGCGGGAAGCCAGGCGAACUCCGAGUUGAGAGGGAGCUUCGGGGCCUGGCACACGGCAGUGCGCGCCCGGGUCCGAGGGCCGCGGGCGCCCGAGCGAGGAUGCUGCGGCAGGGUCCGGCGCUUCCCGGGACACCGCGGCCCUGGCUCUGCGCAGAACCGCCGCCUCCUCUCGCCCACAUAGCAGGUUGUUUCCCUGGCAGGAUCUCCGAAGUCCCAGGUUCUUCGCUCUCUUCCCCUAAACCGCGAAGAAGGAAAUAUGUGGGUUCAGGGGCGAGUGCGGAGCGAGAGCUUUCAACCAAUAAUGUUUCACGAGAGCCCAAUUGCUAUUUAAAAUUACUGCCGCUUUACAACUUACGCGGCUUUCCCCUCUUACAGUGA
rnacentral:lncRNA from 1 species